UGGCCUGUAUCAUCCACUGUCCGGGCAGUACGGGCGCGCUGGACUGAACUAAUCUCGAGCUCUUACCAGUGUCGGCGAUCCAGCCUGCUCUCUAGAUCGGAUAUGCUGUGGCAGUUGAUCCCGUUCUUGGCGUUUGUUUGGUUAAAUUAAGCAGUGCCGGAGCCACAUCAUGAAGCGGUUAUCAAUAGACUCACUGCUUUCUUUCUUAUCCAGAAGGAAUUUUAUCCAAGAAGCUAGCAAGAACAUCAAUAUUGAUGAACAUCUUUUUUUCGAGAGCAUGCAAAACGCGUGCCAUAUUUUAUAGAAUGAAGCAAAAUGAUAUCUG